AGUAUAAAUAGAGCGGAGGCAUACAGGAAGAAGGAGAGACUGGAAGAAGGGAGGGGACUCAUACACAACACACUCCACUGGCCUAGAAAUGUCCACAUGAAGAUGUUCUGAGUGUCUAGGAAUAUGGCAUGUGAUUCUAUAUAGUCUGUAUUGAGAGGAAAUUUUUGAGUGAGAGCUACUUGAAAUUUCUUUGGGCUGGGCUAUGUAUCACUUAAGGAGGAGAGGUGGCCAAUCCUACAAUUAGCAUAAAAAAGGCACAGACCUCCUGCCCCAGGUUCUUGCUCUGGUGACGAUAACUACAGACAUGAAGGACAGAGACACAACUUUGAGACAUACUGGAACUUUGGGAACAAGACUGAUGAGCAAAGUUCCGAGUCAAAACGCCAGGAGGAACAUGAAGAACUGGAAAUGAGGUAUUAUCCAAUUUAUUUCCAGGGCAUUUGGAUCAACUUACGAUCUCACCGAAAGCAUUUGUGGAGAUGUCACUUUGCCUUGUCAACUGUGGAAUUAUUUUCAAAUGGCUGCUUCUUCCUGCUAUACUUCCACUCGUCUGCUCCCUCUGUCCCGUGCCACACUGCUCAGGCCUACAGAGGGAACAUCUCAUCAUUGGGACUUCUCUCUCCCAUGGACUUUUGGUCCCCAUCUCCCUUUACUGAGAGAGAAAUGAUGACUAUGUCUUUGGUGCUUCCACUGAGCUCCGUAUCAACUUCCAUUGUAGAACUUUAUAGUGUUUAUUUAGUGUAGAAGAGUCUGUUAAGUUUAGGAGAGCUGGACCAAUUCCUCUAUU
rnacentral:lncRNA from 1 species